GAUGAACGCUGGCGGCGUGCUUAACACAUGCAAGUCGAACGGAAAGGCCCUGCUUUUGUGGGGUGCCCGAGUGGCGAACGAGUGAGUAACACGUGAGUAACCUGCCCUUGACUUUGGGGUAACUUCAGGAAACUGAGGCUAAUACAGGAUCGGAGCUCCUGCUGCAUGGUGGGGGUUGGAAAGUUUCGGCGGUUGGGGAUGGACGCGCGGCUUAUGAGCUUGUUGGUGGGGGAGUGGCUUACCAAGGCUUUGGCGGGUAGCCGGCCUGAGAGGGUGACCGGCCACAUGGGGACUGAGAUAGGGCGCAGACGGCGACGGGAGGCAGCAGUGGGGAAUAUUGCACAAUGGGCGGGAGCCGGAUGCAACAACGCCGCUUGCGUUAUGACGGCCUGUGGGUGGUAAACCGCUGUCGCCUGGGACGAAGCGUUAGUGACGGUAAUGGGAAAAGAAGCACCGGCUAACUACGUG
rnacentral:rRNA from 1 species